rnacentral:rRNA from 1 species
AGAAUCAACGCUGGCGGCGUGCCUAACACAUGCAAGUCGAACGCGAAAGCCCCGCAAGGGGUAAGUAGAGUGGCAAACGGGUGAGUAACACGUGGGUGACCUGCCUUCGAGUGGGGGAUAACGUCCCGAAAGGGACGCUAAUACCGCAUAAUAUCCUGCCUUUUAAGAGGUGGACAUCAAAGCUGGGGACCGCAAGGCCUGGCGCUUGAAGAGGGCCCGCGCCUGAUUAGCUAGUUGGUGGGUAAUGGCUCACCAAGGCAUCGAUCAGUA